CCAUGAUCUAGAGGAAUUUCUAACAUCUCAUCAGCUUUCAACCACAUCCAUUUGAAGAGAGAGAUGCCAAGCGCCGUCAGCCUGUUUGUGGGUCAUCAUUUAUGAAAUGGGAAUAGUGACGGUACCUGCCUCAUUGGGUUUGUCAAGAAGUAGAAUUGUAUGUAAAGUGUAUCCAAGUGAGGAUACAAGAAGUCAGCCAUCUGCAACCUGGAAGGCAGCCCUCAUCAGAAUCCAACCAUGCUGGCACCCUCAUCCUGGACUUUCAGCCAUCCAAGACCAUCCCUGACCAUCUGCUCCAGAUAAGCUCCUCCCCUCCAAGUCCUAUUUGAUCAUAUUUGUUUAUUUCCUUCACUGCACUCCUAGAAAUCUGUAAUUACUUAUUCA
rnacentral:lncRNA from 1 species